rnacentral:rRNA from 1 species
UCGGGUUGUAAAGCACUUUUGUCCGGAAAGAAAACUUCUGGGUUAAUACCCUGGGAGGCUGACGGUACCGGAAGAAUAAGCACCGGCUAACUACGUGCCAGCAGCGCGGUAAUCGUAGGGUGCGAGCGUUAAUCGGAAUUACUGGGCGUAAAGCGUGCGCAGGCGGUUUGUUAAGACAGAUGUGAAAUCCCCGGGCUUAACCUGGGAACUGCAUUUGUGACUGGCAAGCUAGAGUAUGGCAGAGGGGGGUAGAAUUCCACGUGUAGCAGUGAAAUGCGUAGAGAUGUGGAGGAAUACCGAUGGCGAAGGCAGCCCCCUGGGCCAAUACUGACGCUCAUGCACGAAAGCGUGGGGAGCAAACAGGAUUAGAUACCCUGGUAGUCCACGCCCUAAACGAUGUCAACUAGUUGUUGGGGAUUCAUUUCCUUAGUAACGUAGCUAACGCGUGAAGUUGACCGCCUGGGGAGUACGGUCGCAAGAUUAAAACUCAAAGGAAUUGACGGGGACCCGCACAAGCGGUGGAUGAUGUGGAUUAAUUCGAUGCAACGCGAAAAACCUUACCUACCCUUGACAUGGACGGAACCCUGCUG